CUCAAUUCACACACAUGCACCUUUACAGUUACACGUUGCACUCACACCUCACAUUCUCGCCACCUCCACUGUACAAUUGACAUUUACCAAUUACACUCCACCACACACACACACAGUGUAACUAUCCAUCACUACUCAGAUCUAAACGGAAGGGCAAAUCUAGCUAACGAGGCUGCCCAUCGAAGCUCCUGCCAGAGGCCGUUUCGUCUAAUUUUUGAUGGAAUUCUCUAUUAAAGGCAUAUGUUAUACAGCAAGGGGAGUUUGAGUCUCUCCAUCAAGACCUGAUUUCUGGUUUUGUAAAUUCUAAUUUGUUAAUCAUUUAACUAACAAUAAAGCCUCUGUUCACUGUGGCAAGGUGCUGAAGAUGAAAUUGUGCCUAGUGGCAUAGCCAAAUACAAACUUUGUCAGAAAGUUAUAUUGCGUAAAUAGGAUAAUACAUAUAUAAAAUUUUGAAUUCACUUCUCUCAAGAGAAGUACAAGUUCUGAAA